UCGUAGUUGAAUUUCGGGAUUGACACAUCGGUCGUGCCUUAAGGGGUAUGAACUGGUGUAGUCAGCUUCUCACCUUCUGGAGAACCGCGAUGUCCUUAAUUGGGUGCCGCGAGGAACCAGGACCUUUACUUUGAAAAAAUUAGAGUGUUUAAAGCAGGCAUUUUGCUUGAAUACAUUAGCAUGGAAUAAUAAAAUAGGACGGAUGGUUCUAUUUUGUUGGUUUCUAAGAUCACCGUAAUGAUUAAUAGGGAUAGUUGGGGGCAUUAGUAUUCAAUUGUCAGAGGUGAAAUUCUUGGAUUUAUUGAAGGCUAACUACUGCGGAAGCAUUUGCCAAGGAUGUUUUCAUUAAUCAAGAACGAAAGUUAGGGGAUCGAAGACGAUCAGAUACCGUCGUAGUCUUAACCAUAAACUACGCCGACUAGGAAUCAGACGAUGUUAAUUUUUAAUGACUCGUUCGGCGCCUUACGGGAAAC
rnacentral:rRNA from 2 species